rnacentral:rRNA from 1 species
CAGUCGCCGCGGUAAUACGGAGGGUGCAAGCGUUAAUCGGAAUUACUGGGCGUAAAGCGCACGCAGGCGGUCUGUCAAGUCGGAUGUGAAAUCCCCGGGCUCAACCUGGGAACUGCAUCCGAAACUGGCAGGCUAGAGUCUUGUAGAGGGGGGUAGAAUUCCAGGUGUAGCGGUGAAAUGCGUAGAGAUCUGGAGGAAUACCGGUGGCGAAGGCGGCCCCCUGGACAAAGACUGACGCUCAGGUGCGAAAGCGUGGGGAGCAAACAGGAUUAGAGACCCCAGUAGUCCCUGUCUCUUAUAC